rnacentral:rRNA from 1 species
UACGAGCGGCCCAAACGUUAUUCGGAAUUACUGGGCUUAAAGAGUCCGUAGGCGGCGCAGAAAGUAGGGUGUGAAAGCCCUCGGCUCAACCGAGGAAUUGCGCUCUAAACUACUGUGCUUGAGGAACCUAGAGGUGAGCGGAACUGAUGGUGGAGCGGUGAAAUGCGUUGAUAUCAUCAGGAACACCGGAGGCGAAGGCGGCUCACUGGGGGUUUUCUGACGCUGAGGGACGAAAGCCAGGGGAGCGAACGGG